rnacentral:rRNA from 1 species
UACGUAGGGCGCAAGCGUUAUCCGGAAUUAUUGGGCGUAAAGAGCUCGUAGGCGGUUUGUCGCGUCUGCCGUGAAAGUCCGGGGCUCAACUCCGGAUCUGCGGUGGGUACGGGCAGACUAGAGUGAUGUAGGGGAGACUGGAAUUCCUGGUGUAGCGGUGAAAUGCGCAGAUAUCAAGAGGAACACCAGUGGCGAAGGCGAGUCCUG